rnacentral:rRNA from 1 species
AGUGAACGCUGGCGGUAGGCCUAACACAUGCAAGUCGAACGGCAGCACAUUAAGAGCUUGCUCUUACGGGCGGCGAGUGGAGGACGGGUGAGGAAUACAUCGGAAUCUACUUUUUCGUGGGGGAUCACGUAGGGAAACUUACGCUACUACCGCAAACGACCUACGAGUGAAAGCAGGGGAUCUUCGGACUUUGCGCGAUUGAAUGAGCCGAUGUCGGAUUAGCUUGUUGGCGGGGUAAAGGCCAACCAAGGCGACGAUACGUAGCUGGUCUGAAAGGAUAAGCAGCGACACUGGAACGGGGGCGCGUACCAGACUCCUACGAGAGGCAGCAGUGGGGAAUAUUGGACGAUGGGCGCAAGGCUGAUCCUGCCAUACCGCGUGGGUGAAGGAGGCCGUCAGGUUGUAUAGCUCUUUUGUUGGGAAAGAAAAGCAGCAGGUUAAUACCCCGCGAUUCUGACGGUACCAAAAGAAUAAGAACCGGCUAACUUCGUG